AAGGGUAGCUUGCUACCUGACCUAGCGGCGGACGGGUGAGUAAUGCUUAGGAAUCUGCCUAUUAGUGGGGGACAACAUUCCGAAAGGAAUGCUAAUACCGCAUACGCCCUACGGGGGAAAGCAGGGGAUCUUCGGACCUUGCGCUAAUAGAUGAGCCUAAGUCAGAUUAGCUAGUUGGUGGGGUAAAGGCCUACCAAGGCGACGAUCUGUAGCGGGUCUGAGAGGAUGAUCCGCCACACUGGGACUGAGACACGGCCCAGACUCCUACGGGAGGCAGCAGUGGGGAAUAUUGGACAAUGGGCGAAAGCCUGAUCCAGCCAUGCCGCGUGUGUGAAGAAGGCCUUUUGGUUGUAAAGCACUUUAAGCGAGGAGGAGGCUACUUAGAUUAAUACUCUAGGAUAGUGGACGUUACUCGCAGAAUAAGCACCGGCUAACUCUGUGCCAGCAGCCGCGGUAAUACAGAGGGUGCGAGCGUUAAUCGGAUUUACUGGGCGUAAAGCGUGCGUAGGCGGCUUCUUAAGUCGGAUGUGAAAUCCCUGAGCUUAACUUAGGAAUUGCAUUCGGUACUGGGAAGCUAGAGUAUGGGAGAGGAUGGUAGAAUUCCAGGUGUAGCGGUGAAAUGCGUAGAGAUCUGGAGGAAUACCGAUGGCGAAGGCAGCCAUCUGGCCUAAUACUGACGCUGAGGUACGAAAGCAUGGGGAGCAAACAGGAUUAGAUACCCUGGUAGUCCAUGCCGUAAACGAUGUCUACUAGCCGUUGGGGCCUUUGAGGCUUUAGUGGCGCAGCUAACGCGAUAAGUAGACCGCCUGGGGAGUACGGUCGCAAGACUAAAACUCAAAUGAAUUGACGGGGGCCCGCACAAGCGGUGGAGCAUGUGGUUUAAUUCGAUGCAACGCGAAGAACCUUACCUGGUCUUGACAUAGUAAGAACUUUCCAGAGAUGGAUUGGUGCCUUCGGGAACUUACAUACAGGUGCUGCAUGGCUGUCGUCAGCUCGUGUCGUGAGAUGUUGGGUUAAGUCCCGCAACGAGCGCAACCCUUUUCCUUAUUUGCCAGCGAGUAAUGUCGGGAACUUUAAGGAUACUGCCAGUGACAAACUGGAGGAAGGCGGGGACGACGUCAAGUCAUCAUGGCCCUUACGACCAGGGCUACACACGUGCUACAAUGGUCGGUACAAAGGGUUGCUACCUAGCGAUAGGAUGCUAAUCUCAAAAAGCCGAUCGUAGUCCGGAUUGGAGUCUGCAACUCGACUCCAUGAAGUCG
rnacentral:rRNA from 1 species